rnacentral:misc_RNA from 1 species
GGAACCCAGUUUGGACAGGCUUCAAGUAGAGGAAUUUACGGUGUGGGAAAGAAAGGAAAGAAGUGGAAAGGCCAGCAGAUACUAAGGUUUUUCCUAAGGAAGUGUUGGCAGCCCAUAUGGUAUAGAUUGGGUGGCUGAGUGGGUAUUCAAUGGAGGGCAAUGCUGGUUGUGAAUGCGUUGAAAUAAAGCGGCGUACAGAAUUCCG